UUCUCUCUGAAAUUUCAUCACAACUUCUCCAAUCUUCAUCAAUUGUUCGUCAAUAUGAUGCUUUGAAGGCGUUCCUAUCAAGGUCAGCUUCCAGCAACUCCUUGUCUGCCUCUGGGAAGGCUUCUGACCAGCCCAAGCGAACACCAGUAUCAAGUGCUGAGAUGGAAGCUAUACUGUUGGGUGGCUGCGUUUAAUCUCAUUGAAGUAGUCAAUAGCUAUGUCUCAUAAUAACAUUUUG